GCGUUGAUUGUUCUCAGCUGGUUUCAGUGGUUCAGUUGCAUCGGGAACACGUAACCACUCUACUAGCAAAGAGUUACUCCAGGGUGAAGAUGAGAUUGGGCCCAAUAUGUGUUAUUUGAGGGACUCAAUGACAGCUUCACACUUGCUUGUGAAUGGUGGGUCAGGUUUAACUAAAGAGUGGAGGCAAUAUGUAUUAUCUGAACUUUC
rnacentral:lncRNA from 1 species